rnacentral:rRNA from 1 species
GUGUCAGCCGCCGCGGUAAUACGUAGGAUCCAAGCGUUGUCCGGAUUUACUGGGUGUAAAGGGUGCGCAGGCGGACUUGUUAGUCAGAGGUGAAAUCUCACUGCUCAACAGUGAAACUGCCUUUGAUACUGCAGGUCUUGAAUCCAGAAGAGAGUUGUGGAAUUCCGAGUGUAGCAGUGAAAUGUGUAGAUAUUCGGAAGAACACCAGCGGCGAAGGCAGCAACUUGGUCUGGUAUUGACGCUCAGGCACGAAAGCAUGGGGAUCAAACAGGAUUAGAAACCCCCGUAGUCC